CGCAGGGAAACCGAGUCUUAACCGGGCGUUAAGUUGCAGGGUAUAGACCCGAAACCCGGUGAUCUAGCCAUGGGCAGGUUGAAGGUUGGGUAACACUAACUGGAGGACCGAACCGACUAAUGUUGAAAAAUUAGCGGAUGACCUGUGGCUGGGGGUGAAAGGCCAAUCAAACCGGGAGAUAGCUGGUUCUCCCCGAAAGCUAUUUAGGUAGCGCCUCGUGAAUUCAUCUCCGGGGGUAGAGCACUGUUUCGGCUAGGGGGCCAUCCCGGCUUACCAACCCGAUGCAAACUGCGAAUACCGGAGAAUGUUAUCACGGGAGACACACGGCGGGUGCUAACGUCCGUCGUGAAGAGGGAAACAACCCAGACCGCCAGCUAAGGUCCCAAAGUCAUGGUUAAGUGGGAAACGAUGUGGGAAGGCCCAGACAGCCAGGAUGUUGGCUUAGAAGCAGCCAUCAUUUAAAGAAAGCGUAAUAGCUCACUGGUCGAGUCGGCCUGCGCGGAAGAUGUAACGGGGCUAAACCAU
rnacentral:rRNA from 2 species